UGCACUGAAAGGUAUCUGCAUCCAACAGCAUUCUUCUGAUGGGGUGCUCAAAAACCAGUGCUACAGUAAUUCAGCAUUUGGCAUCGUUGGUUUUCAUGCUUCUUUGUGCUUGUUAAACCUGGUAUUUCUGUUGACACAAAC
ensembl:snoRNA